rnacentral:rRNA from 1 species
UACGAAGGGUGCAAGCGUUACUCGGAAUUACUGGGCGUAAAGCGUGCGUAGGUGGUUCGUUAAGUCUGGUGUGAAAGCCCUGGGCUCAACCUGGGAAUGGCAUUGGAAACUGGCGAUCUAGAGUGCGGUAGAGGGUAGUGGAAUUCCCGGUGUAGCAGUGAAAUGCGUAGAGAUCGGGAGGAACAUCUGUGGCGAAGGCGACUGCCUGGACCAGCACUGACACUGAGGCACGAAAGCGUGGGGAGCAAACAGG